rnacentral:rRNA from 1 species
UACGGAGGGGAGCUAGCGUUAUUCGGAAUUACUGGGCGUAAAGCGCACGUAGGCGGCUUUGUAAGUAAGAGGUGAAAGCCCAGAGCUCAACUUUGGAAUUUGCCUUUUAGACUGCAUCGCUUGAAUCAUGGAGAGGUCAGUGGAAUUCCGAGUGUAGAGGUGAAAUUCGUAGAUAUUCGGAAGAACACCAGUGGCGAACGGCGGCUGACUGGACAUGUAUUGACGCUGAGGUGCGAAAGCGUGGGGAGCAAACAGG